ACCUUAUACUGGGGGAUAGCCUUUGGAAACGAAGAUUAAUACCCCAUAGUAUUAUUUUUUGGCAUCAUUAAAUAAUUAAAGUUUCGGCGGUAUAAGAUGACUAUGCGUUCUAUUAGUUAGUUGGUAAGGUAACGGCUUACCAAGACUUCGAUAGAUAGGGGUCCUGAGAGGGAGAUCCCCCACACUGGUACUGAGACACGGACCAGACUCCUACGGGAGGCAGCAGUGAGGAAUAUUGGACAAUGGAGGCAACUCUGAUCCAGCCAUGCCGCGUGUAGGAAGACUGCCCUAUGGGUUGUAAACUACUUUUAUAUGGGAAGAAUAAGGUCUACGUGUAGACUGAUGACGGUACCAUAAGAAUAAGCACCGGCUAACUCCGUGCCAGCAGCCGCGGUAAUACGGAGGGUGCAAGCGUUAUCCGGAAUCAUUGGGUUUAAAGGGUCCGUAGGCGGGCAUAUAAGUCAGUGGUGAAAGUCUGUGGCUUAACCAUAGAAUUGCCAUUGAUACUGUAUGUCUUGAAUUAUUGUGAAGUGGUUAGAAUAUGUAGUGUAGCGGUGAAAUGCUUAGAGAUUACAUAGAAUACCGAUUGCGAAGGCAGAUCACUAACAAUAUAUUGACGCUGAUGGACGAAAGCGUAGGUAGCGAACAGGAUUAGAUACCCUGGUAGUCUACGCCGUAAACGAUG
rnacentral:rRNA from 1 species